UCACUGCUAGCCUUGCACUCCCAGGCUUGGGGGGGGUAGAAUUUGGUGAUCUCUCCGAAUCUUCGAAGCAGCCAUGCUGAAGGACUCUCUUGCUUUGUGAGCGGUUUGGACAGUAGGUUUGCACCACCCUGGGCUGAAGGCUAGGAAUACAAGGGGGUCCCGCUGGGACCAUGCAUGAAUGGCUGUCACGAUACCGGCCACUCUCUGUUCCUGGGGCUCAGAAUUGACUCAGCAUUUAGUUCUGAACUAUUUGUGGCCCUAACACCAACCACAGCGCGCUGAUAGACGAUGUCAUCUGUCUGCACAUGCUUUCAACUUCCAGUGUGGAAAACACGAUAACAAAACAGAACUGGGAACAGCUCAGACCACAGAAGAAAACACAGCAAAGAGAUCACAGAACGCACACGGACACCUCGCACCCAAACGCUUCUCUGCUGGGUUCUCUUAGCUAUGAAGCAAGUUGGUAUCCUCCUUCAGUGGAGAACACAAGACUUUAUUUCAUGAAGGGUCUUUGGGAAUUACAUAAAUUAAAUGUAUGUGUAUGCACGUACGUGUGUGUGUGUGUGCGCGCGCGUGCUGAAGGACUACUUCACACACUAUUUCUCAGGAUCUUAAACUUUGGGUUUUUGGGACAAGGUCUCUCAUUGACAUAGUGAUCAGCAAGUAGAUUAAGCAGGCUGGCUGGUGAGCACCAGGGACGCACCCCCCACCUCUGCUUCUGUCUCACUAGUGAUGGAAAUAUAUGCUGGGAAUACAAGCACAUAGCAACAAACCCUACCAUGAUUCUGGGGAUUGAUGUCAGGGUCUCAUGUUUGAAUAUCAAGCACUGAGUCGUUUCCUCUAAGUUAAAUACUCAGGGAAAGAUUUACCCAGCCAAUGUGGGUGAAGGCAAGACUGUUCCUAUUGGUUUCUCUGAUGGAGUGCGGCUGUGUCUGCCCUCCUGGGUCCCUUGUCAUGAGGAAGGAAUGUGCCACAAUCAUCGUAGGAUGCUCAGACAAAGCAGAAUUGUUAAACAUGCAGGUACGCUUCCUCAAUGGAAGGAAGAGUGGCACCCGGUCACCUGGUAUGCUGGAGUAAAAGUGACCAGACAACCUGAAGAUUCUUUGCUAUUCUGUUAGGAGCCAGCCUCUAGGGAGUUCCCCCCAAUUCUGAGACUUGUUUAGCCCCUAAUCCUGAACUUUUUCUUCAGUGAAUAGAAUUUGUCCUUAUGAAGAAGGCCCAUGCACUCCGUGUUCUCCAUCAGUAGGAUCCAUUUUUAUGUUUUUCACAAUGUCUUCCUCUCUAGGCCCAGCCUUGAGCGCUACUGACUGGGAAACAGUGAGAAUCAUCCCAUGGAGACACCCUUCACAAAUGUUUUCCUGUGUUUAGAUGUGUAAGAAGAAUAAACCCCAGGGUCAGACUCUGGAGGUUUUGGUCCAGUCUGACAAAGUCCAGCUGUACCCCAUCAUCAUUCUCAUCUCUUCGGGGUUCAUUUUGUUGUUGGUGCUGAUACCUGUAGGGACCCCCCCACCCCAACAAAUCAUAUUCCUGCUGCUUCAUUACCAGGUCUCCUCUGAGGGGCAGGGAGGGAACUCUGAUCACGCAGAAAACCAACAGUAGCACAGACAGGUGGUGGAGCUCCUGGUCUGCCACCUCCAGCUUCCCUGCAGGAAUGGAGCUGUCUCUCCUGUCUUGGGAGUUUCAUUGCUGAGGUAACAUGCUAGGUUGCUCCAGUUUCCCAUGUGAAGAGCAUCAUGCUUUGAUAGACAGCUUUGGCAAUUUUCCAUUCACGGAAAUACUGGACCAACUCACACCGAUCAAGCUGUGGCCAGAGCAUCAUCUUCAGUCUUGCAAAGUUCAGAGGGUUUUAUGGCUGACAUGACAAGAUUCCUGAGCCACAUGCUGGCCCCAUGCAGGGGGGAUUCUGAGCCAAGCAGGGCCCUCAAUCUAACUCAAGGUGCAUUUGCUGCCGUCUUGAAAGUCACAUAUAUUAGCAAGCAAUGUCCUCAGAAAACAAGACUUCUAUUCCAUUAUCCCUGGGAGAACCUGUGGAAAACCAGUUUUUGGAAAUGGGUAAUGAGGAGAUGGGACCAUAAUUGAAGGUCACAUCUAUGGAGGAAGAGAAUUUAAAAACAGUCUUUGAAGGAAGCUUGGGACCAUCUUAUCAGAGUUUGAGAGAAAAACAAUGGCUCUUCUUGGCAGACAUCCUGUGGUCAUGACAUCUCAGAAUUCCUGGAGUCUUCAUUGCAAGCUCGAGGCCAUCUUCACAGUGUUACACUGUGGUCUCCCAAGGCCUCCUUUCUGAGAUUCUGUCAUUACGAAGGAUGUCGUGGCCUCAGUUACUCUCUGAAACUGUGCAUCAGGACUUCAUGACCACCUGAGUGUUGCAAGUUUCAUGUACCCAAAACCAGGACCAUCUGAGGAAUGCUUCAAAGUUCUGCUGCCAGCUCAGGAUGCUGCCUGACUGCCUUGGACCAGGGCUGUACCACCUUCUGUGUUUGACCCUGAGGAAGCCCUCUCCUAGGUAGUGGUGUUUGAGAAGCAGGUAACCCCGUCACAGCUGCAUGCUCGGUUCAAGCUCUCUCUUUUCACAUCCAUCCAUGUCUUUAUUCCUGCAGUCUGUAAUGUGUGGGAUUCUGCGCGACCCUGUCCUGUGUCAUGGAGAUCCUGCAUUUUGGGAUCUGUAGAUCCGUCCCCUUCACAUGUUCCAAAUGUUCAUAGGUGCUGUGGAGGCUGGGGUGUCCUCUCUUACAGACCUGGUCCUGGACCUGGGUGGUAGCUGAGUUGGUGAACCUGCCAGCUUUCCCUCACAGUCACUGUGGGCAGAGGAGAGCUCUCAAGCACUGCCUAGGCUCACUGCUUAUCCAAUGAGCCUGCAGUAGGGCGCGAGGCCAGUUCUCCUGUUCUCAGUUCCCCCAGCCCCACCCCGCUUAUAUGCCAGUGUUACAGUUUUGCCCAGGGGAGGUGCAGGACCAUCUCUCCCAAUUACUGCAGAGAGUGUACAUGAGUGAGGGUGAGAGUAUGGGGGGGAGGGGUUGGUCAACUCCAGUGUGCUGUCCAGGCUGGGUGCAGGGCUCACUCCCCUUAUGCCUUAUGUUUUAUCACUAGUAUAGACAGUCUGUGUUUCCAUCCACUCACAAUCCUUUUAUAUGAAAUAUUGAGGCUACUGAGGCAGGAAAGUAAGAACUGUCAAACUGUGGGAGCAUGGGAAGAAAGAGGAUCCCCUCAUCCCUGGUCUGACGAAAGCAUCUCUCCAGCUGAGGACUGAGAAUUCCUACACAAUUAAAACAUUUACUAAGGAGGCUGCCAACAGCUUUUUACAGAGAGAAAAAUGUUAAAAUACCACUGAACUCUGUUUGAGGCCUAUGUAGUUUUCAAGUAUGAGCCUUAAUAUUUUCACAGGUAUUUCCUGGGAAUCUCAUAAACAAGACUUAGACCAUUGUUUACAAGAAAAAAUAUUAUCUUCCUUUCUUUGCUAACUCUGUCAUCUAGGGUUUUACCUCAUCAGUUGUGAUCUUAUCCAGUGCAUAGGAACCACCGUGGGUUCUCACUCCCUUGACUAUUCAGAACCCAUCAAAAACAGGACAUACGGCUACCGUAAAGACACUUAGUGGGGACUCUUCUUAGAGAGACCCACACCCAUUUUCUUGGGUGUGCUCCAUGUUUUCCCCAAGUGUGUGGGUGCCUCUCCUUUUCCUAACCCUCCUACUUCAAAAUGGCUGUUUUGUUUCUGCUGGUUAGAAAUUUCUUUCUGCAGCCAAGUCAAGACUCCAGCUUUACCUGAGUUGGGUCCCUAAAAGAUUAAAGCACAUUUUCAGGCUAUCAGCAGCGGCACUGAGUUGUGUCUGUAGCCUGUGGAUGCUGUCAAUGCCACUUUUAAAAUGUUCCUUUCUCAUAUAGACCUAAAUGAGCGGGGGAGGGGGAUAAAGGUA